AAUCCCUGUCCCGCUUCCUUGCACGGGUUGUUCGGAGAGCGAGCGAGUUCCGUUGCGCGCGGGGUACGUGGGGCAGGGUAUUUUCUCUGCUGCUAGCCUGCUACGACUCCGAGCCCGAGCGAUCGGAUCCGGAUCUCGCUUGCUGGGAUGGAUGCCCCGAUCCCGCCCAUCCAGCCUGCCGCGGAGUGAUUCCGCGCCAGCGGCGGGAGGGCGUGCCGAUUGAUGAUGGGAUUUAACUGGCUGCGAAACUCGCGUUAUCUUCAUCUUUGACUCGCCGUAGAAAUCCGUCUAUUCUUAGCCUCUGCGGCUGGUCCAAAUUAAGGUCAACGGAUGGCGGGGUAGGCAGGCUGGCCGGAGCUCUGUCAUGUCAGUGGUUUGGUGGUUGUGGAGACACAGAUCGUACCUAACUUAAACUAAUUGAGUGGAUUAUAGAAUGAGUAGAUGGUAUUAAUAAGCUAAGGGGGAAUCUCCCUUGCUUGAAAGUUGCGGGGGAGGAGAACCAACCGCUGUCUCGUUAGAGAUCAAUUAGUUCGUCGAGGGACUAAACUCUAACGAGGCUCGAGGUUGGUUCUCGGGCCAGACGGAGAUUGUUCAUACGAUCCGUUGCUGUUUCUAUUUUUUCUAGCAUAGCUGCUACAAUAAUUUCAACUUGUUCUGGCCUUCAAUUGAUGGCCUCACCUUCAGCACCGACCGAGCUAAGUCGGGAAGCUGCUCGUCAGUCUCUGAUCGCAAUCUCCCAGUCUGUUCCGGAGACACCUUCACCCCGGACGGUGAAGACACCUACCUCCACUGCAGAGAACGGGAAGCUGGACGAUGGGGCUGACAAGUACAGAUCAAAACUGAUGUCCAUCACAGACCUGUCUUCUGACGCCCAACCUACGCUGUGCCCUCCCAAGGAUGUUACCGCUUAACCGUGUGAUGGUCGCUGAUUGAUGUGGAUGUGCGGACAUGAUGCAUCAGUGCUUAUGCUGAUGCUCUGAACAUUUCACUGCCUUGCAUUGAACUGAACUUAUGUUACUAGUCGUUUUUCUUGGCAGUUGGUGCCCGUUUUAUGAUACAUUAAGGGAAACAGGUGGAAAUAUACUGUACAGUUUCCUGACUGAUGAUAAGGAACAAGUUAAGCUGAACAUUCUGUCAUGCA